AAAGGAGGAUUUAGUAGUAAAUU
rnacentral:piRNA from 1 species